AUUGAACGCUGGCGGCAGGCCUAACACAUGCAAGUCGAACGAGUGGCGGACGGGUGAGUAAUGUCUGGGAAACUGCCCGAUGGAGGGGGAUAACUACUGGAAACGGUAGCUAAUACCGCAUACCAUCGGAUGUGCCCAGAUGGGAUUAGCUGGUAGGUGGGGUAACGGCUCACCUAGGCGACGAUCCCUAGCUGGUCUAGGAGGAUGACCAGCCACAGUGGAACUGGAACACGGUCCAGACUCCUACGGGAGGCAGCAGUGGGGAAGAUUGCACAAUGGGCGCAAGGCUGAUGCAGCCAUGCCGCGUGUAUGAAGAAGGCCUUCGGGUUGUAAAGUACUUUCAGCGAAGAGGCGUUACUCGCAGAGGAAGCGCCGGCUAACUCCGUGCCAGCAGCCGCGGUAAUUC
rnacentral:rRNA from 1 species